rnacentral:rRNA from 1 species
AACGAACGCUGGCGGCAGGCCUAACACAUGCAAGUCGAGCGAGAUCUUCGGAUCUAGCGGCGGACGGGUGAGUAACGCGUGGGAAUAUGCCCUUUGGUACGGAAUAGCCUCGGGAAACUGAGAGUAAUACCGUAUGUGCCCUUCGGGGAAAGAUUUAUCGCCAAAGGAUUAGCCCGCGUUGGAUUAGGUAGUUGGUGGGGUAAUGGCCUACCAAGCCUACGAUCCAUAGCUGGUUUGAGAGGAGGAUCAGCCACACUGGGACUGAGACACGGCCCAGACUCCUACGGGAGGCAGCAGUGGGGAAUCUUAGACAAUGGGGGAAACCCUGAUCUAGCCAUGCCGCGUGAGUGAUGAAGGCCUUAGGGUUGUAAAGCUCUUUCAGCUGGGAAGAUAAUGACGGUACCAGCAGAAGAAGCCCCGGCUAACUCCGUGCCAGCCGCCGCGGUAA